rnacentral:rRNA from 2 species
GGCGGCGUGCCUAAUACAUGCAAGUCGAGCGGACAGAUGGGAGCUUGCUCCCUGAUGUUAGCGGCGGACGGGUGAGUAACACGUGGGUAACCUGCCUGUAAGACUGGGAUAACUCCGGGAAACCGGGGCUAAUACCGGAUGGUUGUUUGAACCGCAUGGUUCAGACAUAAAAGGUGGCUUCGGCUACCACUUACAGAUGGACCCGCGGCGCAUUAGCUAGUUGGUGAGGUAACGGCUCACCAAGGCGACGAUGCGUAGCCGACCUGAGAGGGUGAUCGGCCACACUGGGACUGAGACACGGCCCAGACUCCUACGGGAGGCAGCAGUAGGGAAUCUUCCGCAAUGGACGAAAGUCUGACGGAGCAACGCCGCGUGAGUGAUGAAGGUUUUCGGAUCGUAAAGCUCUGUUGUUAGGGAAGAACAAGUGCCGUUCAAAUAGGGCGGCACCUUGACGGUACCUAACCAGAAAGCCACGGCUAACUACGUGCCAGCAGCCGCGGUAAUACGUAGGUGGCAAGCGUUGUCCGGAAUUAUUGGGCGUAAAGGGCUCGCAGGCGGUUUCUUAAGUCUGAUGUGAAAGCCCCCGGCUCAACCGGGGAGGGUCAUUGGAAACUGGGGAACUUGAGU